UGCUCCCGUGGGCAGCAGUACACUAGGGUCAGAAUGACACAGAGAAGAUCAGCAUGGUGCUUGAGCAGGGAUGAUACACAUCUGUGAAGCCUUCUGAAUUGUU